GUUGUUGUGGCCGAGCGGUCAAGGCGAUGGACUCGAAAUCCAUUGGGGGGCUCCCCGCACAGGUUCGAAUCCUGUCCACAACG